AACGCUAGCUACAGGCUUAACACAUGCAAGUCGAGGGGCAGCAUGGUCUUAGCUUGCUAAGGCCGAUGGCGACCGGCGCACGGGUGAGUAACACGUAUCCAACCUGCCGUCUACUCUUGGACAGCCUUCUGAAAGGAAGAUUAAUACAAGAUGGCAUCAUGAGUCCGCAUGUUCACAUGAUUAAAGGUAUUCCGGUAGACGAUGGGGAUGCGUUCCAUUAGAUAGUUGGCGGGGUAACGGCCCACCAAGUCUACGAUGGAUAGGGGUUCUGAGAGGAAGGUCCCCCACAUUGGAACUGAGACACGGUCCAAACUCCUACGGGAGGCAGCAGUGAGGAAUAUUGGUCAAUGGACGAGAGUCUGAACCAGCCAAGUAGCGUGGAGGAUGACGGCCCUAUGGGUUGUAAACUGCUUUUAUACAGGAAUAAAGUUAGCCACGUGUGGUUAUUUGUAGGUACUGUAUGAAUAAGGACCGGCUAAUUCCGUGCCAGCAGCCGCGGUAAUACGGAAGGUCCAGGCGUUAUCCGGAUUUAUUGGGUUUAAAGGGAGCGUAGGCCGUCUGUUAAGCGUGUUGUGAAAUGUAGAUGCUCAACAUCUGAAUUGCAGCGCGAACUGGCAGACUUGAGUGUGCGCAACGUAGGCGGAAUUCGUGGUGUAGCGGUGAAAUGCUUAGAUAUCACGAAGAACUCCGAUUG
rnacentral:rRNA from 1 species